AGCUCCAAUAGCGUAUAUUAAAGUUGUUGCAGUUAAAAAGCUCGUAGUUGAACUUCAGCCCUGGCCGGGCGGUCUGCCUCACGGUAUGUACUGUCUGGCUGGGGCUUACCUUCUGGUGAGCUCUCAUGCCGUUUAUUCGGUGUGGGAGGGAACCAGGACAUUUACUUUGAGAAAAUUAGAGUGUUCAAAGCAGGCAAAUGCCCGAAUACAUUAGCAUGGAAUAAUGGAAUAGGACGUGCGGUUCUAUUUUGUUGGUUUCUAGAGUCGCCGUAAUGAUUAAUAGGGACAGUUGGGGGCAUUAGUAUUGAGUUGCUAGAGGUGAAAUUCUUGGAUUUACUCAAGACUAACUACUGCGAAAGCAUUUGCCAAGGAUGUUUUCA
rnacentral:rRNA from 1 species